rnacentral:rRNA from 1 species
UACGUAGGGUGCAAGCGUUAAUCGGAAUUACUGGGCGUAAAGCGUGCGCAGGCGGUUAUGUAAGACAGGUGUGAAAUCCCCGGGCUCAACCUGGGAACUGCAUCUGUGACUGCAUAGCUAGAGUACGGUAGAGGGGGAUGGAAUUCCGCGUGUAGCAGUGAAAUGCGUAGAGAUGUGGAGGAACACCGAUGGCGAAGGCAGCCUCCUGGGCCAGCACUGACGCUCAUGCACGAAAGCGUGGGGAGCAAACAGG